rnacentral:lncRNA from 1 species
UCCAUCGCAAUCUUGCAACUUGCAAAAAGGUAGUGCUCUACGGUUCUUCGCUCCUCUCCGACACCUUGUUUGAUUGAUUUGCUCGGCGAAUUAUUUCGCUUGGCUCCCCAGUUUCUGUGAUUUUGAGCGGGGCGACGUUAGAUUUGAUUUGGGAAGUGCAGUGAUCCAUCCAUUAGCUCGCUAUAUAUACUUGUAGCUCAAAAGAGAGGAGAACAAAUAUUCCGUCCAACGAUUCCAUCACGUGGGUCACAAUCCAUCCCUUCCGUACCAUCAUUUCAGCCUAUACGGCCGCUUGACGUUGUGUUCAUGGGGCCUACCGACGCUGUUGUUUCCAUCAGCUUAGCUCACUAAUCAAAUACUUUUUAACUA